GCCAGCAGCCAUAUCACCCUGCAGCUCUCACUGGCUACCCACUGGAGCUCAGCAGGGUUGAGCCUGGUCAGUACCUGGAUGGGAGACUCCUGGGAAGCUAUGGUUGGCACUGGAA
rnacentral:rRNA from 1 species